UACAGAGGUCUCAACCGUUGUUCGGAUUCAUUGGGCGUAAAGGGUGCGUAGGCGGUCGCGCAAGUCGGAUGUGAAAUCUCAGGCUCAACCCUGAAACUGCAUUCGAUACUGCGUGGCUAGAGUGCUGGAGAGGAGACUGGAAUUUACGGUGUAGCAGUGAAAUGCGUAGAUAUCGUUUGGAACGCCAAUGGUGAAAACAGGUUGCUGGGAGUGUGCUGACGCUGAGACACGAAAGCCAGGGGAGCAAACGGG
rnacentral:rRNA from 1 species